rnacentral:misc_RNA from 1 species
AGAAUUACGUUAGAGUCUGCGGUCGACCGCUUUUUGCGCUUCACUCCGAUCCCACCUUCGCAGGUUUGAUUUCUGCAAAAGAAAAGAAAACGGGUUUCUUAAAUAAAAUCUAGACUGGAAGUGGAACGGACACAUACAUUUGUAGCUGGGUGCCUGGAACAGGUUUACAGUUCUACUUUGAAGCAAACCAUAAAGAAUUUCAUUGUUCAAGAUGGAUCUGAGUGUAAUUUUGUUGACAGUACUCUCAUUAGGCAUGGGAAGUUAUGCUUUGAAAAUUACUGCACAGGAUUUCAGAGUGGGAGCCUUCAGUUUGAAAGUUUUUGGGCAGACAAAGAUAACAGAUCUAUCCAUUGUGGCUACAAUUGCCAGGGUCAUCAUGCGCUAUGACAUCAUCUUGCUACAAGGGAUCAUAGAUAGUGAGGGCACAGCAAUUGAUGAUCUUCUGAAAUUAGUUAAUAGUGUAGAAAGUGAUGAUCCAUAUUCAAUGAUUAUUAGUGAAGGCUUAGGUAGUUCUGAUACCAUGGAACAUUAUGCAUACUUGUACAGGAGUAGCAGAGCCAACUUGGUGAGAAGUUACAAAGACACAGGAGAUAGGUUUCAGAGAGAGCCAUAUAUUGCCAUAUUUGAAUCUCGUUACACAGCUGUGUCUCCAUUUGCCAUUGUUGGAAUCAAAACCACAUUGGAGGAAAUAAAUCUUCUGGCUGAUGUUGACAGUGAGCUGGAAGUCAAGAAUGUAAUCUUUGCUGGAGACUUCAACGCUAAUUGUGGCUAUGUAUCAAAUAAUCGAUGGAAAGAGGUGGAAUUACGUGAAAACCCGCGGUAUAAAUGGCUAAUAGAAGAUGAUGUGGAUACUACACCUUCUGAUACAGACUGUGCCUAUAGAUUUGUGAUAGCUGGUGCUGGUAUGGAAUCUUCUAUUCUCCCAUGUUCUGCUUCAAUCUUCAGAUUCGAUGUUGAAUAUAAUCUGACACAAGAACAGGUUGAGAUUGUUUGUGAUCACUAUCCUAUUGAGGUUUCUAUAUUACCAUCCCAGUUUAAGUAUAGUGAUCCUUCAUUGAACAUUGCAGCCUUCAAUAUUCAAAUCUUUGGAGUAACUAAAUCUGGUAAAGACAAUGUCAUGGAUAUUUUAGCUAAGAUUUUGAAUCGUUAUGACCUGAUCUUGAUCCAGGAGAUACGUGAUUCAAGGGCAAAUGAACCAGCAGUAAGAGAGCUUCAAGAUUUGGUCAACAGAAACAAUGAAGAUCCAUUCCAGUAUGUGAUCAGUGAGCGACUUGGAAGAUCAAGCAGUAAAGAGCAGUAUGCAUACUUUUACAGACCAAGUAAGCUGGAGCUCGUUACAAGUUAUGUGUUUGAAGAAACACAAGGAGAUGUAUUUCAGAGGGAGCCCUAUAUUGCUUACUUCAAAUCACCAACAACUUAUGUGAAGGAGUUUAUAAUAGGUGGUAUUCAUACAAAACCAGAUGAAGCAGUUGCAGAGAUAGACAACCUUGUUGAUGUUUACAGUGCCAUCCAAGAGAAGUAUGAAGUUGAGAAUGUCAUUUUUGCUGGAGAUUUCAAUGCUGACUGUUCGUAUGUGGCUAAGAAAAGAUGGUCUGAUAUUCGCCUGAAGAGUGAUUCUCGUUUCUGUUGGCUCAUAAACAAUGAUGUUGAUACUACAGUCAAGGGUACUGAUUGUGCUUAUGAUAGGUUUGUGAUAAGUGGCAAGGAGAUGAAGGAAGGAAUUGUACCCUAUUCAGCCAAAGUGUUCCGCUUUGAUCUGAUGUAUGAGCUCAAUCAAAGUGAGGCAGAACUUGUGAGUGAUCAUUAUCCAAUAGAGCUGCAGUUGCGAGCACUGACAGAUGACAAGGAGUAUCGAAAAGCAGAAAUACUGAGGAAGUAUGAGUUAUAAAGGUCACCAUUUAUUUUGUGAAGUUUCAUCUCAUUUAGCAUAAAAGGGUUCACCGGUCAUUAUAAUGAGAGCAGCUUUGUGCUACGACCCCCGGAAGGAUGAAAAUAGAGUCAUGAAUAUACAGUACAUCCCAGAUAAAACAAAAUUCCUCUGGACUAGGACAUCAUCAGUACAUUGAAAGGAAACUUAUCGUGCUCCAGACAACAAUUAUCAUGGGCUUAUACCUUAU